rnacentral:rRNA from 1 species
GACGAACGCUGGCGGCGUGCUUAACACAUGCAAGUCGAACGGAAAGGCCCUGCUUUUGUGGGGUGCUCGAGUGGCGAACGGGUGAGUAACACGUGAGUAACCUGCCCUUGACUUUGGGAUAACUUCAGGAAACUGGGGCUAAUACCGGAUAGGAGCUCCUGCUGCAUGUUGGGGGUUGGAAAGUUUCGGCGGUUGGGGAUGGACUCGCGGCUUAUCAGCUUGUUGGUGGGGUAGUGGAUUACCAAGGCUUUGACGGGUAGCCGGCCUGAGAGGGUGACCGGCCACAUUGGGACUGAGAUACGGCCCAGACUCCUACGGGAGGCAGCAGUGGGGAAUAUUGCACGAUGGGCGGAAGCCUGAUGCAGCAACGCCGCGUGCGGGAUGACGGCCUUCGGGUUGUAAACCGAUUUCGCCUGUGACGAAGCGUGAGUGACGGUAAUGGGUAAAGAAGCACCGGCUAACUACGUG